UACGGAGGGUGCGAGCGUUGUCCGGAAUCACUGGGCGUAAAGAGCUUGUAGGCGGUCUGUCGCGUCUGCUGUGAAAAUCCGGGGCUCAACCCCGGACUUGCAGUGGGUACGGGCAGACUAGAGUGUGGUAGGGGAGACUGGAAUUCCUGGUGUAGCGGUGAAAUGCGCAGAUAUCAGGAGGAACACCGGUGGCGAAGGCGGCCUGCUGGGCAGUAGCUGACGCUGAGGCGCGACAGCGUGGGGAGCAAACAGG
rnacentral:rRNA from 1 species